UCUCCCUCUCCCUCUUUCUCUCUCUCCUUUCUCUCGCUUGCUCUCUCCCCCUCUCGCUUGCUCUCUCCCCCUCUCGCUUGCUCUCUCUCUCUCUCUUCAUCCACAGAGGAGGCCAAACCUAAAUUCAAGUCUGCCUCCAGAAGAGUCCUUUUUAGGGAUGGAUGAUAAGAGAAUACCCUCACCCUAUCAGAGUGUUCAGGCUGUUAUCUCUGGAUAUUAAUACACACUGUAGGGUCCCACACCUCCUCCAUUCUCUCUCUCUCUCUCUCUCUCUCUCUCUCUCUCUCUCCUAUUGUCACGUUUCUGUUGAUCAGUGGAAAAUACUUCAAACUGAAGUCAGUUCUUCUCUCCAUCUCUCAGACCAGAGCAACCAUGUCAGACAAUGAAGAGGUUGAAGAGUUUGACAGGACAGGAAAAUGGUCAAAUUCACACACUUAUCAAGAGAAGACGUGGUUAUCCCUUCUGCCUCUGAUCUGGCGGACUAUAGUGUUGGAGUGUGCCCCUGGCUAUCUGUAAAUUAAAAUAACAAGACCAUUGUGCAAGACCAAU